GGGUGGGAUCAUACCAGCGUUAAUGCAUCGUAUCCCAUCAGAACUCCGUGCGUGCUUGCGCUAGAGUAGUACUAGGAUGGGUGACCUCCCGGGAAGUCCUAGUGUUGCACCCU
rnacentral:rRNA from 1 species